rnacentral:tRNA from 1 species
UUGGCUGUAGUAUAAUUAGUAUUCUUUCCUUCCAAGAAAGCGGUCCACAAUUUGGCAGCCAAA